AUACGUAGGUGACAAGCGUUAUCCGGAUUUACUGGGCGUAAAGGGCGUGUAGGCGGUCUUGCAAGUCAGAAGUGAAAUUCCUGAGCUCAACUCGGGCGCUGCUUCUGAAACUGCAGGACUUGAGUGCUGGAGGGGAUAGCGGAAUUCCUAGUGGAGCGGUAAAAUGCGCAGAUAUUAGGAAGAACACCGGUGGCGAAGGCGGCUAUCUGGACAGUAACUGACGCUGAGUCGCGAAAGCGGGGGGAGCAAACAGGAUUAUAUACCCUGGUUGUCCACGCCGUAAACGAUGAAUACUAGGUGUAGGGGGUAUCGACUCCCUCUGUGCCGCAGUUAACACAAUAAGUAUUCCCCCUGGGGAGUACGUUCGCAAGAAUGAAACUCAAAUGAAUUGGCGGGG
rnacentral:rRNA from 1 species